GACGAACGCUGGCGGCGUGCCUAAUACAUGCAAGUAGAACGCUGAAGGAGGAGCUUGCUUCUCUGGAUGAGUUGCGAACGGGUGAGUAACGCGUAGGUAACCUGCCUGGUAGCGGGGGAUAACUAUUGGAAACGAUAGCUAAUACCGCAUAAUAGUAGAUGUUGCAUGACAUUUGCUUAAAAGGUGCAAUUGCAUCACUACCAGAUGGACCUGCGUUGUAUUAGCUAGUUGGUGGGGUAACGGCUCACCAAGGCGACGAUACAUAGCCGACCUGAGAGGGUGAUAGGCCACACUGGGACUGAGACACGGCCCAGACUACUACGGGAGGCAGCAGUAGGGAAUCGUCGGCAAUGGACGGAAGUCUGACCGAGCAACGCCGCGUGAGUGAAGAAGGUUUUCGGAUCGUAAAGAUCUGUUGUAAGAGAAGAACGAGUGUGAGAGUGGAAAGUUCACACUGUGACGGUAUCUUACCAGAAAGGGACGGCUAACUACGUG
rnacentral:rRNA from 1 species